rnacentral:rRNA from 1 species
UACGUAGGGAGCAAGCGUUAUCCGGAUUUACUGGGUGUAAAGGGCGCGUAGGCGGGAUGGCAAGUCAGAUGUGAAAUCCAGGGGCUCAACCCCUGAACUGCAUUUGAAACUGUCGUUCUUGAGUACUGGAGAGGUUGACGGAAUUCCUAGUGUAGCGGUGAAAUGCGUAGAUAUUAGGAGGAACGCCAGUGGCGAAGGCGGUCAACUGGACAGCAACUGACGCUGAGGCGCGAAAGCGUGGGGAGCAAAUAGG